UACAGGGGGCUCGAGCGUUAGUCGGAAUCACUGGGCUUAAAGGGUGCGUAGGCGGCUUGUCAAGUGUUUUGUGAAAUCCCACAGCUCAACUGUGGAACAGCAGGGCAAACUGACAAGCUUGAGGCAGGUAGGGGCCGGAAGAACAGUUGGUGGAGCGGUGAAAUGCGUAGAUAUCAACUGGAAUGCCGAUGGGGAAGCCGUCCGGCUGGGCCUGUCCUGACGCUGAGGCACGAAAGCGUGGGGAGCAAACAGG
rnacentral:rRNA from 1 species